ensembl:lncRNA
GGGUAUUAAUUAGGCCCGUGUGGAUGCUGUUUCUCUAAAGGCCACCGGUUUGAACCCUCGGACCGCGGAGCUGCUGUGUUCGGGGUCACAGCGGUAAAGGAGACUCACAGUACUUUCUGCAACAUGUGGAACGUGAUGUAAUAACUGCACGCUGUGUUCUCCGUCUUGUCACGAGGGGGAAAUAACAACCGAGGUGUAACUUUGGGGUUCAGACAGACGACAGAAAGUAUUUCAGAGGAAACUUUCAGACCUGCUGACGUGUUGAGUUGAUUUCUAAAGAGAUUCAUCAAAGUUCCUUCUCAGACAUUGAAGAAACGGAGAGACAUAUAUAUCUACAUCUCUAUGUAGAUAUAUAUCUAUGUGUGUGUAUAUCGGUGAUUCCUGCCCUGAAGGUCGUCUCUUACUGUUUCUAUUGGCAUUAUAAAUAUGGGACAUUCAAGUCAUUUCAUUGGGAUGGAAGAAAUGUGGCAUCCUUCUGGCUUUUCACUGCUCAAGUAUCUUAACGAAUAUAAAUGGGGGGAAAGCUGCUCACCACAGGAGGAACCAAACCAAUGUGCUGGUGAUUUACACCUUCGGCGCCAACAGCCCCUCACCUGCAUCACAAUUACAUUCUAGACAUGAAGUGGAAGCUGUUAUCUACCCCAGAGCCGUUUACAAUGAGGGCAACAACACAAUCGGCUUAAGUUAUUUCACUGCCAACAUUCCAAGGAAUCAUUAGUGAGAAGUGCAGGGGUCAGAAACGUCCUGGCAAGAGACGGAACAAAUUCCCCCCGUCCCUCCGACACAUUCAUGCAUAUAAAUGACUCAUUUCUCGUCGAAACGGAGACGUGGUGAGAGGACGAGGGAACACCGGGCGGAAGCAAUUCAAAGGGCUGUGAGGAGAAAUAAGGAGAAUGCAGUUAGUGAAGUUAAAAUGUAUUCUUUGGUUUUCAAUGAAUGUAAUCUGGGAACUUUUUAUAUGAAAAGGUGUGCUGCAUGACGAUAUGUUGAACUGGUACCAACCACCGAGUAGCUCUGGUUUAGAAGCCUGGCUGUGUGUCUUUGUCAUAAAUAAUAAUCAUGAUGUGAUAAAUAUACAUUUGGACCAUUUAAAUACAUUUCAGGUGGGAUUUCACUCGAGAAGUUGCUGACAAAAGAGGAAAAUGUGCUAAAUUUGAGACGAAACAUCUCAGGAACAAACAGGAGUGAUGACGGUAAAUAAAAGAACAGACACACACACACACACACACACUCCCUGAAAAUCACACAUAGAUGCACACGCACACACACUCACACACACACUGUGUGGAAGAUUAGCUCACUACACGCUAUGGUACAAUCCUCUUUGAGCGACUUAAACUUUCUCAUUACACGUUCACAUCCGGAUUUCUUUCCAGACAGCGAGAGGAAGACUUUUAGUGAGAAAGGAAGUAAGAUAAAAGGGAGAGAGACAGAAUGCAAGACAGAGAGAGAGAGAGGAUGGGAGGGAGGUUGAGAGAGAACUGGAAAGAAAGAGCGAGAAGAAGAGGAAAAACAAAAGGUUUGGUGAAGGUCAAGAUGGGAAAGGGCUCAGAGAUGGGAGUGACAAGAAGGAGAGAGAGAUUCACACGAUGAGGAGGAUUGUUGAGGACACCUGUGUGUGUCUGUGUGUGUGCGUGUGUGACACCGUGACAUACGAUGGAGAUUGGAAGGUAGUGGUGGCGGGUGCAGCACAAGGGGAAUGAUAAUGGACUCACACUGUACAUAUUCAAAAAUAAACUUGGACACCUGCACACACAGACACACACAUGCAGACUGUGCAACUGCUCAAUGAAAGCCAACAAGACGGAGUGACAUCAGAGAGGAGACGUCCUUCAGGGCUACAAACACAGAGCUGUGCAGCGUGAGACGCUCAUCAGAACACAGAGAGACGAAUGCUGAUUCAGGAUCAGUCACAACCGAGUCCGUGCACAAAGUGGGGAAGACGCGGCGCUGGAUGUGUGCGUUCUCGUGGGAUUCAGACUGAUGCCAGCUUCCUGUUGUGCAUUUGUCGUUGUAACAGUGUUCCCUGCUGCCUUACUGCUUCCAUUUCAACCUCAAAGAGGCUUUUUUCAGUAAAAGACAGCGACGCCCAAAUGGUGAAAGGUGAAUUGCACCUGGAGUCUAACGCUGCAAGGGAUUCUGGGUAGAAACUGAUACCACGUGUGGUGCACAUGACACUCGGAUCUCUUCCCUGAACGAGUCAGUGCCAGCGGGUUGAAUGCCAUUUGGUAACAUGCGCCAUAACCAGAGGUACGCGGCUGUUCACCCUGGUUUGUUUCCCUUAGGUAGACCCUGGUUAGUGUCCCUUAGGUAGACCCUGGUUAGUGUCCCCUAGAUGGACCCUGGUUAGUUUCCCUUAGGUAUACCCUGGUUAGUGUCCUCUAGGUAGACCCUGGUUAGUGUCCCUUAGGUAGACCCUGGUUAGUGUCCCCUAGAUGGACCCUGGUUAGUUUCCCUUAGGUAUACCCUGGUUAGUGUCCUCUAGGUAGACCCUGGUUAGUGUCCUCUAGGUAGACCCUGGUUAGUGUCCCCUAGAUGGACCCUGGUUAGUUUCCCUUAGGUAGACCCUGGUUAGUGUCCUCUAGGUAGACCCUGGUUAGUGUCCCCUAAAUAGACCCUGGUUAGUUUCCCUUAGGUAGACGCUUGUUAGUGUCCCCUAGGUAGAGCCUGGUUAGUGUCUAUCAGGGUCAUUUCAUUGGCUCAUUUCACCGUACUUCUGUGACAUAACUGGGAUUUGAAAUGGUGAUUUUCCUUUGUGGUGCCAGCAGCGAGCUGCAGGACCCUUCUCCCAUCAAAUAGCUUCUCUUAAAAAGAUUAUUCUGGGCCUAUCAGAGGAUGUCAUUUGGAAGCAAAUGCAUUGGGGAGCUCUGCCCAUCUGUUAUAUGUAAUCUAAUUUUCUCAUGCUCCAAAAGCUGGCCAGGAAGAAAAAAAGGAAAUCUCCAGGAUCUCUGAAGCCUUUUAACGUGUUACGGACACGUUUUCUCACUCAGCUCACAUUUCUCACUCACCCCGGGAUCACUUCUGUCCAAAAAUGUUCUCAACAACGGUUUAUAUACAACACCACAUUCAUGAUGCGGACCGGGAGCGUUCCAGAGAUCCGACCUGAAGGUAUCAAACGCUCCGGAAAAGAUCUGCCAAACUGCUCCAGACCCGAUCUUGCCAGUCAGUAUUUGAACUGGGAAACAGGGCGCGUUCGGUGUGCGGGUCCGCGGCGGAUCCGCUGUUUGAAGGUGCGCGAUCCGUAGGAUCCAGGAUAAUUUCCUUGGCAACCAUUAACCAUUACAUCCAACAGCCAUCAGGCUCACUGUGACAAACCUGACAUGACACAUUCAACUCGAUGCGCUAACGUUUUGUUUCCAUUUCAAAAGGCAUUUCUCUUCUCUCUUUGCUACGUUUACGGCGGGCGUCCACUCACUUCACUACUGAGAAGUCAGUGUGGGUAAAAUAGAUUUUUAUUUUGCCCAAAGGUAGCACCAAUCAUAAUCAUUUCUAAAACUGUGCUAAAACUCCCACGUGGACGGAAAUUAUUUGAAAUGGAAAUAUAUUAGUGGAGCUAAUGGCUCGGUUCAGUGUAGUUAGAGUAUUAAAUGAGCCUGAAGUUUAUUAGAAGUGUUUACAGAUUAGAGCUCAGCUCCACUACCUAACUGCCCCCUAUCACGACGCAUUUACUCAAUCAGACGUUCAUGAAGGGGCAAAGGUAUGAAUUCCAAACUCAACUCAACGCAAGUGGAUAAUGCCUUCAUGUCUGCCGGGACCUCGGGCUCGUCAGCCCGCCGGCGUCCCCGGCCGAGGCACUUGGGAGUUGAACUUUGCACGUGAGCGGUCGGAUACGAGGUGGGCGUCUGCUCCGGGGAUCUGGUGGGAGCCGCACCGGGCUACUAAUGCACGGUAUGGUGAUUUAAGCGAAGCCUCUUGUGCCUCCUGGGCUAAUUAUCCAGGUCCCAGAAUGUCUGAACUUUUCCUUUUCCUCACCACGAUCCACUUGGAGUCUAUUUCCUGCCUCUGGUUACACUCCCUCAUUACUUAAGUUUUGCAUUUGCCGGCUUGCUUGCUUCACCGCUUCCUUCGUAUCUGCUUCUUUACUCAAGCUUUAAAUUCCCCUUCCUAUACUUUCCUCUCCACCUGCUGUAUGUAAGACCGUGUUGCUCAUUAUGCCUCUGAGGGAGGGCAGAAAUUGCAUUUUGUCCGAGUUGAACUCGUGUGCCCUGUUACUCAGCUGGCAGAAGGUUUUUUUUUUCUAUUUGCAAAUUCUGUCACUAGUGGGGGGUUUUGUAAGCAGUUACUAUUUAGGUUGCUUAACUUACACUCAUUGUUUUCUGGGCCACGUUGUUCGAAGAUGCUAUUUGCAAAGGACUCGUGGCCCUUCACUCAUCAAUGAAGCCUUUGGGGGAAAAUGCAAACUACUGCGAAUGUGUCGUACAGCGUUUAUCCACAGCAGCAGGGACAUGGCAACAGUUGCAGCACUAUUUGAAUUUAAUGUCUGAAUACAUUUUUCAUUAAUGUGCCUCGGGCGAAAUGCUGAAUAAUUUGAAUGGCCCUCCGGUAAGAAGGUUUUAUUGUGACAGGUAAGAAGGGAAGGAGUGGAUCUAGUCUGCGCUCUUUGUGCAAUAAGGUUUACGCACUUUAAUGGCAACUGAAAUACAGUAAACAUAGAGUUAAAAUGAAAUAAAAGCAUUGUUAGAUAAUGAAACGUAAAGGCAGAUCAAGGAUGCUAACAAAUGCCAGCGAACACGUUAAAGUAAAUGUCACUUCCUGCGCUGACCGUCGCCUCUGAACAUGAAUCAUGAAUCGUGAGUCCUUCCCGUCGCCAAACAUUCACUUAUGUAUCGAGGACGAUUGAAGAGUCUCCACGUUCAUUAUUUUCCUGCCUUUCACCUCGUUGGUCCUUCUGGGAAUCUUCCUCUUCCUCCUUUCCUGGUACCCCGGGACCCCCCCCACGCCCCCUCCUUCCUCAUUACGAGGAGAAUAGAGGAUGUCUGCUCGGCCUCGGGGGCAGCGAUGAUCAUCUGCUGUUGAACCACACGCAUGCAUGUAUGGAUGCAACAACCACAAACAUAUUGUGCAAUACUCACUAACGUUUGGAUUUAAAUGUUACAUGCAUGUUAUCUUUGUGCACAUACUUCUUACUAACCUUCUAUCUUCAAAACAGGACCCAAAUCAUGAGGGGACAACUGCAGAGGAGUUCAACAUGACGUACAAGAGGCGAUCCCCAAAGACACUGUGGAUGUAUGAAUCUCAAAUUAACUCCUGGGCAAAAAAAGUCCCAUAAGAGAAAAGCGAAAAUGGUGUCAGUGAGCUGAGGAGAGAAGAGGAAGAGGAGGAGGAGGCAAAAUAAAACAUUCGACACACUACAGAAGUUCUUUUUCAUUCCAACUCAGAUGCUCCUCAGAUGCUCCUGAGCUCCGAGGGUCACAGUCACAGACGUCCGUCCACGUGUCCAUUGUCUCUGUGUGUGAGUGGACAGCGAGCUUUGUUGAUGCUGACACAUGGAGGGAGAAACUCCAGACCAGAUGAGAACAGAAGGGACGAGAGAAGAAAGGGAGAAGGACGGGAUGUGAAAUGAGAGAGGAGCUGGGAAGAUAACAGGAGAAUAAAAGGAAGGAAGGAAGGAGGCCAGGAGAGAGGAGGAGACAGGGG